rnacentral:rRNA from 1 species
GACGAACGCUGGCGGCGUGCUUAACACAUGCAAGUCGAACGAUGAAGCGAAGACUUGAAGCUUCGGCAGAAAUUCAUUUCGGAUUAGUGGCAGACGGGUGAGUAACGCGUGAGCAACCUACCUCUUACAAAGGGAUAGCCUCGGGAAACCGGGAUUAAUACCAUAUAACAUUGCGACGAAGCAUUUCGAUGCAAUCAAAGCUACGGCGGUAAGAGAUGGGCUCGCGUCCCAUUAACCAGAUGGUGAGGUAACGGCUCACCAUAGUAACGAUGGGUAACCGGCCUGAGAGGGUGAACGGUCACACUGGAACUGAGACACGGUCCAGACUCCUACGGGAGGCAGCAGUGGGGAAUAUUGCACAAUGGAGGGAACUCUGAUGCAGCGACGCCGCGUGAGUGAUGAAGGAAUUCGUUUCGUAAAACUCUGUUCUAUGGGAAGAAAAGGACUGUACCAUAGGAGAAAGCUCCGGCUAAAUACGUG